AAUUCAACGUGGAAAUAAACCAAACCAAAAUGUUAACUGUGAAGAUCUAAUGGAGAGGCAGUUAGUAUCGCACACUGAGGUUCAGUCUUAAGAUGUACAUAUUAAAAACCUUUCAUUUUAAAAUUUAUUUAUACACUAUUUACUUUUUUUUGUUCAAUAUACUUUGCUUAAAAAAGAUGGAGACAAAAAGUUCUCUGAGCUAUGAAAAAAAUUAAGUUCUUACAGGCACGUUUACAGUUUCAUUCUAGAAACGCCUCAGGUUCACAGGUUGAACAUUCAGCCGCUGUGUUAUUUUAAAAACAAAAUAUUCUUUGACUUUGGGAAAACCAGAUCUCUUUCUGGGGCAGAGUGUACUUGAUGAGGACCGUGUGGUUAUGCAAAUUACAGGGGAUUAUUCCAGAAAAUGUAUGCGCACCUGCGUCACAGGUGUGGCUUUCUUUCCUGGCGGUUCCUCGUGGCGAAGCUCCUCCGAGGAGGUCGGGUCCCUGGAGACAGAGCCGGAGAGGCAGGGGCCCAACAGGACAGAGGGAGACUGCCGGCGUCUCCCACUUGGAGAAGCAGAGUUCUAGGGACGGAGCUAGUGCGGAACAAGGUAGUUCCUCGUUGAUUCUCCACGUGGCUGUAGCUGCCGAGACUGGGGGCGGCUGUGGCAGCCUGCCUCCACUUCUCCCUUAAGGCGUGUUCCAGAAGCUUCCUGUGGAGGAUCUGGGCGACAUUCUCGGGAACAGAGUGAUGGCCAUUGGGAGCAAGCUGAGCUAGGAGGUGGUGCCUGGAAGCUCCUUCUAUAAUUAUCCAAGGAGAAGGAAAAAGAGGAAAACAGAAAUCUAGAAGUAAAGCUAAGAACCGAGAUACCAUAAACCAGAAAGGGCUAAUAGAUGAGCCCAGAGAAAAGGCAGCACAGCUGGUGAGGAGAACACAGCGAACUAUGCUAAGAGCAGGUGCUGCUUGGCCGGCAGGAUCUUAGUUCCCUAACCAGGGAUGGAACCUGUGCCCACUUCAGUGGAAGCAUAGAGUCUUAACCAUUGGACCACCAGGGAAGUCAAAAAAGUGGACAUCCUUGAGCCCCACUGACAGCGAUUCACAUGGAAGAGAAGCCCAUAACCUAGACACAGGAGAAGCAGACAUCGUCUGUGGCAGAAGAAGCACAGCCGGUGGGAGAAGAGUCCUGAGAGACACACAGAGCUAGUCUUCAUUGCUGCUGGAGGACUCCAUAGUUGCAGCGCUUGGGCUUAGUUGCCUGAUGACAUGUGGGAUCUUAGUUCCCUGAACCUGUGUCCCCUGCAUUGGAAGACAGAUUCUCGGCCACUGGACAAGUGGGAAGCCCCAUUGUUUAUUUUAGAUUAGAUCCUAAAUCUACUGUCAUAAAGGAAUGUCAUGCUGCUGCUGCUGCUAAGUUGCUUCAGUUGUGUCCGACUCUGUGCGACCCCAUAGACGGCAGCCCACCAGGCUCCCCAGUCCCUGGGAUUCUCCAGGCAAGAACACUGGAGUGGGUUGCCAUUUCCUUCUCCAGGGCAUGAAAGUGAAAAGUGAAAGUGAAGUCGCUCAGUCCUGUCUGACUCCUAGCGACCCCAUGGACUGCAGCCCUCCAGGCUCCUCCAUCCAUGGAUUUUCCAGGCAAGAGUACUGGAGUGGGGUGCCAUUGCCUUCUCCUAAGGAAUGUCAUAGUCAUAUGUUUUUAUAACUGUAAACAGAGGAUUAAGUGUUAUUACUGUAGUAAUAUCCGACUUCAAGUCUAUUUACCUGACCAGCUUUAAGG
ensembl:lncRNA